CUAGCUUCAGCGAUGGAUCGGUCGAUUCGCGUAUCGAUGAAAAACGCAGCUA
rnacentral:rRNA from 4 species